AACGUGCUUUUGUUAGCUCAACUGCAGACCGAACAAACACACGUCGAGCUUCAGUAGUAUAAAAAGAGCGCUAACUCUCCUCGAAUUCCAUCCGUCUCUCAAGCAAGCAGGUAGAAAUGGCAGCGAAGAUAUUGGUCGUCGUAGUUCUAGUGGCCUGCGUGUUGCAGGCGAUGUUGGAGCUGUCAUCAGCCACCACCUCCAACAGCACCAGCAGUGCCAACAGCACUGCCGAAAACAUUACCACCGCAGUCAACAGCACUGCGGCCAACAUUACGUCUCAGAUAAAAAACGACAUCAACAAAACUGAAAGUGCCAUUUCUAGUGUCUUUGCUCCCGCGGCCAACAUGGCCAACGCUUUGGGUUCGCUUUUUGGUUGAUUAUUUAUUUUGGGUACAAGCAAUAUGAUGAAGAAUGAAUUUAUUUCCACCAACCAAAGUUUAACUGACAUCCUACCUUUCGUUAUAUCCUUGAAUGCUGUUCCAUAACAAUGUAGUCGCUCUUGAAAUUGAAUAAAUUGAAGCUAUUUAA